UUGAACGCUGGCGGCAGGCCUAACACAUGCAAGUCGAACGGUAACAGGAAGCAGCUUGCUGCUUCGCUGACGAGUGGCGGACGGGUGAGUAAUGUCUGGGAAACUGCCUGAUGGAGGGGGAUAACUACUGGAAACGGUAGCUAAUACCGCAUAACGUCGCAAGACCAAAGAGGGGGACCUUAGGGCCUCUUGCCAUCGGAUGUGCCCAGAUGGGAUUAGCUAGUAGGUGGGGUAACGGCUCACCUAGGCGACGAUCCCUAGCUGGUCUGAGAGGAUGACCAGCCACACUGGAACUGAGACACGGUCCAGACUCCUACGGGAGGCAGCAGUGGGGAAUGUUGCACAAUGGGCGCAAGCCUGAUGCAGCCAUGCCGCGUGUAUGAAGAAGGCCUUCGGGUUGUAAAGUACUUUCAGCGGGGAGGAAGGGAGUAAAGUUAAUACCUUUGCUCAUUGACGUUACCCGCAGAAGAAGCACCGGCUAACUCCGUG
rnacentral:rRNA from 1 species